UCCAGAGGGUGCAAGCGUUAAUCGGAAUUACUGGGCGUAAAGCGUGCGUAGACGGUCAUUUAAGUCGGGUGUGAAAUCCCCGGGCUCAACCUGGGAAUUACAUUCGAGACUGAAUGGCUAGGGUUCGGAAGAGGGAAGCGGAAUUUCCGGUGUAGCGGUGAAAUGCGUAGAUAUCGGAAGGAACAUCAGUGGCGAAAGCGGCUUCCUGGUCCAGAACCGACGUUCAGGCACGAAAGCGUGGGGAGAAAACAGG
rnacentral:rRNA from 1 species